CGGAGGAAAAGAAACUAACAAGGAUUCCCCUAGUAACGGCGAGUGAACCGGGAAGAGCUCAAAUUUGAAAUCUGGCGUGCUCAGUGCGUCCGAGUUGUAAUCUAUAGAGUCGUUUUCCGUGCCGGACUGUGUCCAAGUCCCUUGGAACAGGGUAUCAAAGAGGGUGAUAAUCCCGUACUUGACACAAUGACCGGUGCUCUGUGAUACGUCUUCUACGAGUCGAGUUGUUUGGGAAUGCAGCUCAAAAUGGGUGGUGAGUUCCAUCUAAAGCUAAAUAUUGGCGAGAGACCGAUAGCGAACAAGUACCGUGAGGGAAAGAUGAAAAGCACUUUGGAAAGAGAGUUAAACAGUACGUGAAAUUGUUAAAAGGGAAACGAUUGAAGUCAGUCGUGACUGAGAGGCUCAGCCGGUUCUGCCGGUGUAUUCCCCUCAGUCGGGUCAACAUCAGUUUUGUUCGGUGGAUAAGGGCGGUUGGAAGGUGGCACCCUCGGGUGUGUUAUAGCCAACUGUCGCAUACAUCGGAUGAGACUGAGGAAUGCAGCUCGCCUUUAUGGCCGGGGUUCGCCCACGUUCGAGCUUAGGAUGUUGACAUAAUGGCUUUAAACGACCCGUCUUGA
rnacentral:rRNA from 1 species